GCAUCGGUGGUCUAAACAGGUAAGACAUCGCUCUUGUAAAGCGACGAUGCGGGUUCGAGGCCCGCCUGGUGCU
rnacentral:tRNA from 1 species